GCUUCCUGGUUAAAAUUACGAGCCCUGCCCUAGACGCCGCCGUCCCUGAUCCUCUCCUGCCGACUCUCUGCCGCCUCUCUCUCUCUCUCUCUCAUGCCCUAGCGAUAGACGCCGCCGUCCCUGAUUCAGCUUUAUGAUCGACAUUGGCUGCUUGUAGUCGCCAUCGCAACGAAGAAUUCUAUUCGGUUGCAGGCGAAGGCGAUAAAAAGUAGGAGAUGCCUUAUAGCGCGCGGCCGAUGAUGUCGCUUCUGGCGUUCACGGGGUUGAAUUUGGUCCUCGUCAACACCAUCUCUCCAGUCUACGACUUUGUCUGCUUUCUUCCCUAUUGGGAACGUCGGGAAAUCACUUAAGCGUUAGGUUGAACUCAAAAUACAACAAGAAGGAUCUGUGUAUCCGAACUAAUGCGUGCAUCUUAUCACUGAGAACAGUCUUUGUUAUCCUAGUUGAAGAAUUCAGUUUAAGGUCAUACCUUCCACAUUUCAUUCAAAACUGUUCGGCAUCAUGCUAUUCUUGUUAUGAAGUACAAGCAUUAUUCAACUUCUUCGAAGAAUUGAAAUUGAUAGGAGCAAAACAUAAACUGAUAAUUGAGAUAAGGAUGAGGCUCAAAUGGAGCACUUGGCCCCUGUUUUUAUUAAAAUUAUGUUUUUAUUCUUGUAUCUAAUUUGUUUUAGUAUGAAAUCCCUCGUCUAAUUUGGAUCAGUAAUGAUCCAUCUUUUGUUUAGGGUUUAGAUAUCUUGGUAAAUGAACUUGACAUAUUAGCUUGCAGUUUCUCAUCUGCAGUGUAAAAAUGUGGAUUAUCUAGACCUUGGAUAGAAAUUGAGUUCCUUUCAGGUAGAACAUUAAUCAUUAUAUCCUAGUAAUUAAUGUUGAUUAGAGCCAUGAUUUCCCCUCCGAUGGCAUCUCUAAUCCUUCCUUAUCCUUGGAAUACCAAGAAGUUUUUCAUCGCCUAGAAGGUGUUUUUUUUAACUUUAUUUGGAUUAUUAGAGCAGUAAACCAAUCAAGAUGUGAUUGGUGAAGCAUUGCUCUUGACCAUCUUUAUUUUGUAGUUGAAAGUGGUCACAGAGUUACGGUGAUUCAAAAAAGUUCAAGUAGGUUCAAGUACGCAUCUUUGUUUGAAGAUAGGAUUUUUCUUAUCAUACAGUCCAUACAAUGUUAUAGCAUUCUUACAAGGACAGGUACCCCUAUAGCUAUAGCAUUCUUAAAGUCUUCUAUCUUUUUGUUUCCGUAAACUUAUCAAUCUUCAUAUGUUCUUACCUUAUGUAAUACAGAAAAAAACAAUGAUCAUAAUGAUACCCCAACAAUUCCGUCGUCCUUGCCGGGACUAUCAAUCGACAGAGUUUUAAAAGUAGCAUGUUUAAGUUAUUUUGAAAACACUAGAUAUUAAAAGUUCAUAUAGUUGCUAGCCAAAUUUUAAUACACAUGCUUCCCAGAGUUAGAUUGCAGAAAGUUGCAUUAGCUAUGUCAUAUAUAUAUAUCGCAUACUUAUUUUGCUCUCUUAACCUCUGUAGAGGGAACGACGGCUAAAGGAGCGCGAGGAUGCUCUCCCAAAAGUUUCUCAAGAAACCUAGUUUCUUCUUGAUUUGGAAUGUGAAGAGAACUUGCAUGCAAGUUUUAAAGAUUGAACUCCUUGGAAGAGGCCUCUGUUCAUGCCUAAAUCUGAGGAGCAUUUGUAACUAUCGACAUCAAUUCCUAUUUGGCGGUUCUAAUUCUUGAAUUAGGCCAAAAUGUUAAGUAGGUUAAUCCAGAAGCACACCGUUUCAAGUCUGUCAGAAGUGUAACACAAUAAACUUUACAUUAAGAUUGAAUUCUUAUAA